rnacentral:rRNA from 1 species
AUUGAACGCUGGCGGCAGGCCUAACACAUGCAAGUCGAGCGGAUGAAGAGAGCUUGCUCUCUGAUUUAGCGGCGGACGGGUGAGUAAUGCCUAGGAAUCUGCCUGGUAGUGGGGGAUAACGUUCCGAAAGGAACGCUAAUACCGCAUACGUCCUACGGGAGAAAGCAGGGGACCUUCGGGCCUUGCGCUAUCAGAUGAGCCUAGGUCGGAUUAGCUAGUUGGUGAGGUAAUGGCUCACCAAGGCUACGAUCCGUAACUGGUCUGAGAGGAUGAUCAGUCACACUGGAACUGAGACACGGUCCAGACUCCUACGGGAGGCAGCAGUGGGGAAUAUUGGACAAUGGGCGAAGGCCUGAUCCAGCCAUGCCGCGUGUGUGAAGAAGGUCUUCGGAUUGUAAAGCACUUUAAGUUGGGAGGAAGGGCAGUAAGUUAAUACCUUGCUGCUUUGACGUUACCGACAGAAUAAGCACCGGCUAACUUCGUGCCAGCCGCCGCAGUAAUAC